rnacentral:tRNA from 1 species
GGAGGUAUAUCUCAGAUGGUAAAGUGCUUGUCUUGUAUGCAUAAAGCCCUGGGUUCAAUCCCCAGCACCACCA